UGCCAUGAAAAUUAGAUAUUUGAGAUGAUUUAUAAUAAUGUUCACAAUAAUUAUUUAACUUGUUAAACUUAUUUUUGAAUUUUUGUUAAACAUAAAAGCCAUUUACAAAAAUACUGUACAAUAACCUGUAUGUGUCAGAAAGAAGUGACAUAUAAAGAGAAGAACAGACUUUAGAAUAUUUGCACUUCUUAUUCUUUAUCAUCUUGGACUUUUGGGCAAUGUACUACAGUUCUUGCAUUCUCAUUUUUAUGUGGUAUCUUAUGUUAGAAGAGUAUUAAUCUGAGUAGUGUAUUUCCAUUGCUUUGGCCCUAGAGGUGAUUAGUCAAACGAAAAAGCCAUUAGUUAACUAUUGCAAAAUUCUCUGGGAAAGGUUAACAAUAUAAUAUUGCCAUUUCCUUAAAUAUUUGUUAACCAUAAACAGAAAUAAUCCAACCACCUUACUUCAACUGUGAAUGUAUCCACAGAAUGCUUUCAUUGGGAGUUUUGGAUGUUCUAAAUUUUUCAUAUACCAAAACUUAGGUCUUUGUAUGAAAAUCAGGAAUCCUUACAGACCUGCGAAUACUGGCUGAUUGGCCUGAUUUCAUCCUCACUGUGAAGUAUAUAUCCAUAGCCAUGAAUUAAGCACUGUGAAUGUGAUAAACUGAGUUUCUACUGUAAUUAAAAAGACCAGCAUGACAUUGUGUUACUAUAAUGCAUGCUGACACCCAACCCAUUAAUGUUUCCUUUAUUCUUCCUCCAUCCCAGGGUUUCAUUCAUUUUAAAGCUAACAGAAAAACAACAGAUUUUUAUAAUUAAGUUCCUGAGAAACCAUGAUAAAUACAGCAUUACACAUACUGUCGAUGAUAUUUUGGAUUUUGUAAGACACCAGAGAUCAAAACAUGCCAAAUUGGACUUCUUGUCAUUGUCUAUACAAACAAAACUCACAGACAUCAAAGCCACUAUGACCAUGCUGCUGAUGCAAGGACUGCAAGAGUUAAUCUGCACAGCCGUCACUGAAUCUAUAUUGGUAAGACAACAUGUUGCAUGGUUCUGAAAGGAUAUUCUAUAUUCCUUACUGCCUGCAGAAAAAGGGGACAAUAAACAGCAGAAACAAAUACUAUUUACACUAGACAAAAUGACAACACCACUCACUGGCGGAUGGGCUGGACUGCUUACCUAAUCCUAUACAUGCUGUGAGGUUAGCCACCCUCCACAAGGGAUCAUCUUCUCUCGGCUGUUGGUUAGUGACCCAGGGGUCAGAGGGUGGAGAGAUACCUGGAACGGCAUAAUUGCGUUGGACUUAGGUCAUUUUCUCCAUAUCUGUUUCCCCCUCUACUCUAGGCUGGACCUUAUACUGAAAGGUAGUGGUGGUAAGGCAUCAUCCUAGAAGCAGUCCCUUCUCCUGGCUGAUUGUUGUUGACUGAUUGCUCAUCAGAGCAGCUUUACAUAUAUUACCUUUACUCUUCUCAGGAACAUUUGCACUUGUAGGAGGAGACUCUAUUCCAACUUUCCUCAUCCGUUGGAGAUAGAAAUGAGUACAGUAAUUCAGUAGUUACUGCAAGACUCAUGGAUCUUAUUGGGGCACAGAAACUAAUAUAGUAUGGAUAUUUGUCCCCUUCAAAUCUCAUGUUGAAAUGUGAUUUCCAAUAUAUUAGAGGUGGGACUUGGUAAGAGGUGUUUGGGUCAUAGGGGCAGAUCCCUCGUGAAUGGCUUUAUGCCCUACCCAGGAUAAUGAGUGAGUUAUUGCUCUGUUAGUUCACUCAAGAGCAGGAGGCUGGCACCUCCCCCACUCUCUUUUUCCCUCCCUCACCACGUGACAUGCCUGCGAGCACACCUGCUCUGCCUUUGCCUUCUGCCAAAAGUAAAAGCUUUCUCAGGCCUCAAUAGAAACCAAGCAGAUACUGGUGCAAUGCUUGUAUAGCCUGCAGAGCCAUGAGCCAAAUAUACCUUUUUUCUUUAUAAAUUACUCAGUCUCAGGUAUUCCUUUAUAGCAGUGCACAAUAGACUAAUACAGAAGUUGAUAGCCCAAAAUGUGGCAUUUUGACAUGCUGAACUGAAGAAGCUUCAAGCUGUCUCUGGCCUUCCCCUUCCCUCUGAUUCUCCCAAAGCCUUUAUCUACCUAAGAUCAGACCCAACAAAAGAAAAAAAAGUUUUUGUUCCUCUCCUUAUAAUACCAAAAGUGUAACCACACCUGAACAGAAUCUUUCACAAGAUAAUGUACAAGUUAAUUUCUGUUUCCUGAUCUAUUUAUCCUUCCUAGUAAUCCACUC
rnacentral:lncRNA from 10 species